UACGGAAGGUCCGGGCGUUAUCCGGAUUUAUUGGGUUUAAAGGGAGCGUAGGCCGGGUUUUAAGCGUGCCGUGAAAUGUCGGGGCUCAACCUUGACACUGCGGCGCGAACUGGAGUCCUUGAGUGCGCGGAACGUAUGCGGAAUUCGUGGUGUAGCGGUGAAAUGCUUAGAUAUCACGAAGAACCCCGAUUGCGAAGGCAGCAUACGGCAGCGCUACUGACGCUGAAGCUCGAAGGCGCGGGUAUCGA
rnacentral:rRNA from 1 species